CUGACACUGCCACAUCAGCAUGUUCUGUUUUUACCUCAGAUUUUCAACAUCUGCAGUAUUUUACUUUG